rnacentral:rRNA from 1 species
AUUGAACGCUGGCGGCAUGCCUUACACAUGCAAGUCGAACGGCAGCACGGGAGCAAUCCUGGUGGCGAGUGGCGAACGGGUGAGUAAAGUAUCGGAACGUGCCCAGUCGUGGGGGAUAACGUAGCGAAAGUUACGCUAAUACCGCAUACGAUCUAUGGAUGAAAGCGGGGGAUCGCAAGACCUCGCGCGAUUGGAGCGGCCGAUACCAGAUUAGGUAGUUGGUGGGGUAAAGGCCCACCAAGCCGACGAUCUGUAGCUGGUCUGAGUGGACGGCCAGCCACACUGGGACUGAGACACGGCCCAGACUCCUACGGGGGGCAGCAGUGGGGAAUUUUGGACAAUGGGCGAAAGCCUGAUCCAGCCAUGCCGCGUGCAGGAUGAAGGCCUUCGGGUUGUAAACUGCUUUUGUACGGAACGAAAAGGACUGCCCUAAUACGGUGGUCCCAUGACGGUACCGUAAGAAUAAGCACCGGCUAACUACGUGCCAGCAGCCGCCGUAAUAC